rnacentral:tRNA from 1 species
GGGGGUAUAGCUUAAGUGGACUAAAGCACCUGGGAACAGGUAUCGAAGGUUCGAAUCCUUCUGCCUCCA